rnacentral:lncRNA from 1 species
CUGGAAACAAGAAGAAACAAGAUCAACCACCAUUCAAAAUAGUUAGUGAACAGCAAGCGCUAUCAAUUGAAGCACAUACAUGAAAAAGAAAGGACAAUUAUUGUACCUUGUGAGUAAUACGAAGGUUGAGGAGGGUAUGGAGGAGGAGGGUAAGUUGAGGAUGGUGGAGGAGGAGGGUAAGCUGAAGGUACCGGAGGGUAAGCCGAGGUUGACGGAGGAGGAGGAUACGCAGAUGGCUGAGGAGGAUAGGCUGAAGCUGGUGGGUAUCCUGAUGGCUGUGGGUAUUGUUGUACUUGUGGGUAUAGAGAUGGUCCAGUGUAUG